UUGUCUACUUAUUAGUAUGUUGGUAUAUAAUUAUUUAAAAUAUUUAUAUUAUUUGUAAUGUUUAUAUUAUUUGUAAUAUUUAUAUAUAUUGUGUUUGUAUUAUUGUAUAUACUUUUGCAGUAGUUUUGGCUAAUAUACCUGAACAUCGGAAGUGGAUGUAUAACUAAUUGUUACCCGGAAGAAGGGGGUACACUGAUGAGUUUUUAGCUGGUGUUGAGGAAUUUAUAAAUUAUGCAAGCACACUUCAUGUAUAUGAGGUUUCAAUGCAGAUUAGGUGUCCAUGUAGUAAGUGUAGGAAUAGAGUACACUUGCCUGCAGAUGAUGUUCGUGUUCAUUUGUAUAAGAAGGGUUUCGAACCGAACUAUUGGGUUUGGACAUGUCACGAUGAGCUUCCCCCCUCAAUACAAUCACAUAUGAAUGAGGGCCCAAGUGAAAACAAUCAGUAUGAACAAAUGGUUUUUGAUGUAGCUGGUCCAUCAUUUUUUCCACUAAAUGCCGAGAAUGAACAAGAUGAAGAGCCACAUAGUAGUGCAAGAAACUUCUAUAAUUUGUUAAAUGCUGCGAGACAACCUUUAUCUAUGAAUGUUGGUGAAGAAACAGAGCUGGCAUAUACAUUGAUGAUGAUGAAUAUCAAGACAACCUUUAAUAUACCGCAGCUAGCAAUGGAUCAGAUAUUUCAGUAUAAUAACUGUAUGAUGGGUCCCAAUAAUCGAGUUCUGUUUGACUUAUCUUUGGACCUUUUAUUAACAAAUAGGCACAAAGAUGGUGCAAGGACUCAGCAACAUCUUAUGAUUGACUGUUGUUUGUAUUAACUUAUUCCAUGGUUUUGACAGUUCAUAAGCUAUGAAGCCUAUAUAUUAUUUUAUUCUCACACUUAAAUACUAUUGCUGGUCUUAAGUUUGUCAUUGUUGAUUUUAAGUUUUAUUUGUAUGGUAACUAACUUCUCUUUACAUGAUACUAUAGGAGCUUGGAACAAAUGUCAACCGUUAUGCUUUGGUGUUUGGUGAAUCUGUCUAAAUGAUGCAGUAAGCUAUUUGUUUCCUUUUGUUUCUGUGUUUUUUCUGUUUUCUUCCACUUUUUGUUUAGUUAUAUGAUAUUAAGCUCACUAAGAAGUUUGGCAGUUUUCUUUUUUUAAUUUUUCAACUGAAAUUUUUGUUUGUACCUUUUUUUUGGUAAUUGUCUAUAAUUGAGCUUUCUUCCAAGUUUUCUGCGAGAAUCCCAGUUGGAGAAUAUCUCACAUCUGCCUUAAAUGAUUUUGAUCCUGAACAAUAUGACAGCCUGGCUACCAUAUCUGAUGGAGUAAACAAGCUCUUAAUGCUGUAUGCAGGCCAAGUACUAAGAUUUCUACCUGUGUUAUGAUGCCAAUUGCACAUUUGGUGGAGUUGACAUAUAAGCUCUUAGAGUUGUAUUUUUUAGAUCUAUAAAGGGAAUUUAGUCUCUAAUGUUUUUCAGCUGUAUUUGAAUAUCUAAAUGUAUUUGAAUUACAUCUUAGAGUUGACUAGUUGCUUUUUUAGUGAGUAUGUGUAAUGACUAUCAAUUUUGUAUAGGAAAAAAAUUGUAUUUAUUAUUA